CCAAAGAAAGGUAAAUACACACAAACAAUUCCAACUCACCCUAAACAAACAAACAGGCCUGGCUUUUAAACCGGAAGCUCCACCCACAUGGACUCCUCCAUAUGCUCUUCCAGAGGUAAGAAUUAAAACAAUAACUUUUAUAUAAAAAGUUAUAAACAAUAAACAAUAUAUAUAUAAUAACAUAAUCAGUAUCAUAACAUAUAAACCCAAUCAUCAAUAUUCAUUAUAUAACAUAAUAUAUAUAUAAUAUUCACUUUUAUACAGGGAUUAACUUGGGCUUUGUAUUCCCAACACCCCCCCAAACAAACAACAGUUAAGACGGUCCAAUUACCGAAACGCUCGCGCAGGCGCAACGCGGGAAUUCAGCAACAUCAGUCUUUCUGGAUGGCUUCCGGGGUUUGCCUUUUGCUUCCGGUAACCUGGACUAAGACCGAAUAUGACGCAGCACACGCCCAGACCAGUGAAAACACAACAGCUAAGUACAAUAAACAUUUACUGGUGAAUGUAUUUGGUGUCUGCGUGUUCUUAUUGUGGGAUAUGGGAAGGAAAGGACACACUAAUGGAGUGGAUAUGUGGGCGUUAUAUAUAUGCAAAUUCCGCAUUAACCUGCCCUAGUGUGCCGGAAAACGGGUGGAUUUGGGAUUAUACGUGCGUGUAAAUGUAGUACUUCCGCAUUCGUCACAGAGCCUUCUGUUUACAUGUUUGUUUGUCUUCCUAUAGUUUUCCUACUUUGACUAAAUAUCUUGUGCUAGUUUAUUUAAUAUGCGCUAGUCCCUUAACGUUCAACUUUCAGCGCCCUGUGAGGACGGGUAGUUCUGUGUGCGUCUCUAUUUAGGUAUUCCUAAACUCAGUACGUUUAUAUAGACAACAAUAAUCCGAUAUUAAGACGAUACUCUGACUAAGAAACUACCAUGUAAACAGAGAUAAUUGAUGACCUUAAUCUGACAUCUUUUCCCAUCAGUUGUCAUCACCACCUCUUCCUUACAAGUAUGUUUCUCUCUCAGUAUCCCUAGAUGAAAAUAGAGGCAUGUAACAAAGCUGAUCAAUCACGGUUCACGUAACCGAGUCGAAGAAUCUUCAGACGUGAAAUGCAGGAUACGAAUGUUUUCCCAACUCUCUGGACUUUCACGAAUACCACAUCGCAAGCUAUUUAUAGGAACCCUACAACAGCACAUUUUCUUAUCAAAAGUGAUUCCAAGUGGAAUCUUUUUAGAAGUAUGCAAAGAAGAACCCAGAAUUAUCCGAUGGACCAUUAAAGAAUUUUUGCCACACUGCUCGAGCUGAAUUAAAGGGCCAGUACACCGUUUGAAGAUUUAAAUGAAGAUGAGUGACAAAAAAAGCCCCGAGUGAUCCAGGCUGGUGAUUUCCCUCAGCUCCAUGUUCUCUUUGGCCUGGCAUUUACCCUGGCACAAAGAUACCAGCACUUCGCCCAGAUUCUGAACCCUUUACACGAUCGACUUGUCCUCUGGCUCAGAUGGUCAUCCUGACUUCCAGAGCUGAUAUGAGGUUUGGCAUGGAGAGGACACGGAGUUCAGCCCAAGUGAUAUUUCUGUAGCACUUUACUUUAUUCAUCUUUACAACUGAGCGCAAACGUAAGCCUACGUUAACAUUCAUAAGGGCUUAUUCUAACGGCUGGUGAAGUUAACAUAACACCCGAGUCACCAGACGUAGAUAUUUGUUGGUCGUGUUACGGCACUUUCCUGGUUUGUGAACUUCUGCUAUGUUGGAGUGACAUAAUGGUGAUCAUGUGACAGCGUUUUCUGUAAUAGGAAACACACAUAACUCCGUCAUUAUUCACAACUUACUUUAUAUCUGACUGGACGGAUUUUUUUUUAAGCCAUAAUCAUAUUUUGACCCACAAAUAAUAUCAUUUUUAGACUUUUAAGCAAUAUUUUAAUGCAAGUCUUUUCACAUAUAUUUAACAGCAUGUAAAAAAACAACAAAACAGAGGUAUACCAUUCACAUUUUUCUUAAUUAUUUUAUCAUAAUGGAGAUAAAUUAUUAUUAUUAUUAUAGAAGGGAAAUCUAACAUUGAAUGAACAAAUACACAUCUAUCAUUGACUACGCUUACACGGACAGCAAUAAUGUAAUUAUUGACCUUAUUCUGAGUAAGACAAUAUUCUGAUUGAGGUAUUAUUACUACUAUGUAGCAGGUAAGUACGCGGUUUGGGACGCAGCCGUGCUCUCUUGUUUGCCGUCAAACGGUUGAGCACUGCGGUGUGUGAUCAUGUCCUGUCACACAAUGCGGUGAUAACUCCCACACGACGUUAAUAGUGUGAUUAAGGUGUGUACAUGUCUGUAAUACACGUCCAUAAUGCGACUAAAACAGGAAUACUCCACACGUCUUAAUUCCAUUCGUGUUUACUUCGAGUAUGACUUUAAUCGGAUUAAGGUCAUCAAUAAUCGCUGUUUAGAUGCUAGUUUCUUAAUCAGAGUAUCGUCUUAUUCGGGUUAAUAUCGGAUUAUUGUCGUCCAUGUAAACGUACUGACUGAUGGCCAAAUCUUCUGCUCUGAUACAAUACAUCAUUACAAUAGCAGCGGAACCCUGAAAACACUAUAUAAAUUUCAGCGAAUGAUUUAUUAAAUGUUUACUCAGCUCUUUUUUUUUUUUUUUUUACUUAUAAACUCACACUACCUAUAAAUGAUGAAUGUUAAAAGGGAUAAAAGUCUGGAAGUUUUUGCUAUCAUCAAUAAAACAUGACUUGUUUUGUGCGGA